UGGAACCCAAUUUCCGAGUCCAACAACAAAACUACAUUUCAAGAAUGGCUUUCCAUUUCGCCGCCGCCGCUUUUGCAGCCUGUAUUGCGAUGGUGAUGGUGGCCGUGGAUGCGCACGAGGGCCACGACCACAGCCACAUGGCACCUUCUUCGCCACCAAUGUCACCUGCUAACUGGGGUGCCCUCAGUUCUUUUCCGUCGGCGGUGGUUGGAUUCUUAGCAUUGGUGGUCUCGUUCAUCGGAGUUUUUGGGACAAGGGUUUGAGAUUUAUUUUCAUGCAUGCAAUCGUUUUUUCUUUCUUUCUGUUUUAUUUUUGUUCCCUGUUUGGAUCCAUCUUUUUAAACGCCUUUCUCCAUUCUUGCUCUACUUUUGUGAAUUUUAUCCCCAAUUUGGGUGUUGUACAAUGUUCCGG
rnacentral:lncRNA from 1 species